UUUCGUAUUUAGUAACCUAUAGUUUUGCGAAGCAAGGCCACGCCUGGCCUGUGAGAGACGACGUAAUUGUGAGUGCGCGGGAUACAUUUGCAACAACCCGGAUCGUUCAACGUAACAUAGCAAUCCCAGUGCAGCGAAGAGUUGAGCCCAGGAUCGAAGUCGUUAUAUUUUCUAUGUUGGAAGCAAACGUCAUUCAGUUCAACGUAAAUUACUCCAAAGGAUCACCGGAACUUCAUGCUCAGAGUGCACUUGAGGUGCAUGCACACAGUGUAAAGUGCAAGUUCUACCAAGGCCGGUGACAGGGUGUAUUUACAAGGGUAGCAAGCACUGGCCAGCCUGGAAGCCGGCUAACAUCAAGGAAGGCACGUCACCGUCAUCAGAUCAGCAGUGGCCGCUUAUGUAAUGCAACCACCAUGGCCGAAAACCGCACCUGCGACCCCACGCCCAGCAGGAGGAUGUCACGGCCACUCAGCUACCGUGGUGUGUGAGGCUUUACCGUAAGAGACACAGAGUCCCAUUGACAGGGGUCAAGCUAUGGACUGCGUCUGGCAAAGCUACACCACCAAUCGCGGAAAAGUUUGGUCCGUGCGAACUUUUGUGUUGCACCAUGAGUUUGUAUUGCACCAUGAAAGUGAAGUUGUAGCCUCAUGACAAUCAGGCAGGAAUCACGCAGUACACGAGACUUGUAUAAUGAGCAAAACUGAACAUUACCGCAUAUUUUGCACUUAUUUUGAUUCGUCUGCAAUUUCCCAAGAUUCAAGUUCGUCAAUAUAGUACGCCUCAAACCAAUCUGCAAUCCCCCAUCCGAAGUUACGCAAGCAGUCAUUCUACGAGGCCAAGCGAGAAGCUGCUCACACAAACGCCCCUCUCUGCUAUCAACACAUGCCUAUAACACUCUGCGCUAACACCGCGUCAUUUCCUAUGACACCUAUAAUCACUGGGACAAUUUGUAACCGCAAGAAAAAAAACACGAAUACCGGGGUGUCAGCAUGCAGGUCGACCCCACAUUGGCGGCGAUGCCGGAACUACGUGUGCGGCUGGAAGAUUUACGGAGAGCACUCAUACAAGUUAGAGGUGGCAAACCUAGAGGGCCAUUUGUCUAGCCGUUUGUCCAAUUAGACCAAUUGCGCGCGCAAAUAUUUACGGAUGCCAAACGCUAUAUUACGCCACCUUCCCAGACCACCUCUUGGUUUUCUGCUCCACCGAGAGGACGUCUCUCGCAAAAGCUCUUCAAGCUGCGGUAACCACUAUAUACGUGCGAUCGAAAUGAGCGUAUCGAUGACCCGUGCGUCGCCCUUCGGCCCCUUCAAAUACAUUCCCGAGCCCUGUUGCUAAAGAGGGCUCGAUUCCUGACAUCGCAACGUGACACAUCUUUCCCCUUCUGGCCUGUGUAUAACUGCACUUCAGAGAUGCGUAUCUCCUCACGCAGUAGAUAUUCGCGGUACAAAUGCAAUAGCACCGCUAAGCGGCUACAUUCGGAAUCAAAAUUACAGCUGCAGGCGAGAACAGGACGGCUAUCGCCGAAAUGUCGUCACGGCUCCAAUAACUUGUGGCCGAUCGUGACUCUAUAGCUGCGGCAUGUGAAAGAAAAAAGAUGGCCCCUGCAUCUGUAAUUGUCGGUCGUCUUCUAGAGUAUUGACAUUAUUAGCGUUUAUAAGGUAUACAUUUGCUCCUGCUAUAGCAGCGCGUGCAGUGUAGGAUUUCAGUGGUAACAGGUCGCGAUGAUAAUGGAGCCCUCCUUGAUCGGAUGCGCGAAGUGGUGCGAGGGUCCACUAUCAUGCCGGUAAAAUUGGGUGCACUGCAUCUCUGGCGGAGGUGUCGUCGCAAUGCCUCCGACAAGCUACGGUAUAUACGUGAAACGCAUCACAAACACACAGGAGACGCGUGUUAUCGGAAGUCCUUUCAAAGUCGUCGGCAUCCCAUCUUCGUGAAUGCUCGUGAAAUUAGUUGUUCAUAGCGGUUCAGCCAUCACAACUGCGACUAACACGAAUGUUAAAUAGUUAAAAACCCGGGAACCGCGAAUUUUUUAAUCAACGCUGCAGCUUUCAGAGAAAAUCUCGAAGACCUGCGCUAUCUUUAAUCGUGAGGUUCUUGCACGCAGCUGCUAUGGACAGACCAAAUGGCGGUAUGAUAAGCACGGAAAAGACGCCGGCGCUUAUCACUUCCCAGUUAUCGAGCUGCACACUGCUUAAAAAAGAUUAAAAGUACUGGCGGUGAUGAGGGCUUAGUACUUUAAAACUGAUGGUAGCGCUAAAAAGGAACGGACACAGGAAGAAAAGACGACACGACGACGAGGACACGACGACGAGGUCCGUUCCUUUUUAGCGCUACCAUCAGUUUUAAAGAAUGCAUCACCAACUAGCCCAGCACCAAGUUUUAUUGAAGCUUAGUACUUGUUAAGAAGGUUUCAAAAACUAUGAUAGGUGGGUUGCGGUAUAAACUACGCCUUCAAACGAGUGCAUCAUAACGUUACAAUUAUUUCACGCCUACAGAUAUUGUACGGACAUCCUAAGCGCGUUUACGCCGCCGCCGUCGUGCUACCAUGAUAACAAACGCGGCAGCACGGAUGCGUACCGGUCAAAACCGCAGCACCGUUCGGUGACUUGUGAAGCACCAAACGUGGGGCAGCGCCUUUGUGAAUUCCUGCGAGUAUCAUGAGAGGACGGGAUGAUAUUUGCCGAUAAUUUACCGAUAAGUUGGACACCGCUGUACCUGGACCCUGCCGAACCAUAUAGCCCAAUAUAUAGGGCACGCACAGCUACGGGAAAACAAACGGGCUCACUGCGAAUAGGGAGCGAGCACGAUUGCAAAAUUAGACCGUACGACUCCCGCUAGCUUCCUAACAUAAGUUAGGCGAGUAAGCAUUCUAAUGCGCGAAUACAUGUAACUUGCGUGUACUUGGUUACGACAUUUCUGCACCCUAUAGUACCCAUAUACACCGUCAGCAGCACUCACAGGACGUUUCACGUACACUGUAAGAUAAUUUACACCCUAAAAAGUGAAAAAGGGUGUAAAUGUGU